rnacentral:lncRNA from 1 species
GACGGGUCAGCCCCCCGGAGCAGACACUGGCUUGUCCCGCCCGCCCCGGCGGGAGCCGUCGACCCUACACGGACUUCCCCAGGCUGUCCCCAGCUGUUGCUUUCGGAGCCCAAAAGAAACUGCCCAAGGAGUGGCAAGGCAGUUCUGGGGACGAAAAGGAACCUAAAUAGAGAUCGAGGGGGCCAUGCCACUGAAUCGGGGUCUUUUUUUAGAUUCGUUGUUGUUCCUCACUAUCUCCAAAAGAAAGAAACCCCAGAGCGAGGCUAACCACGCUCAAGAUUUCGAUGAGGAUUAGAGGCUGCAGGACCGACGGAGCGACCCAGGCAAAACGAUGUUCGUUCUUUCCUUUCCUUCCUUCCCGAAAUAUGGGCCGUCUGGGCCCAGGAAGUGUUUGCACUCCCUUCGCGAGAUGGGGAUGACAGUUGUAAGGCCCCCGAGAGAAGUGUGUCCAGUUUUAUGCAUAAACAUUUUUUCUCCGCCCGCGAAAUUCUUCCUCUUCAAUCCACAGGCGGCUUUUUCCCUCUCCGGCCGUUACCCGGCAACACUGAUAUCAACACUUCCUCGAGUGUACGUCACAGAGCCGCUGCUUCUGGGGACUGCUGUCGAAAAGAUUAAAAGCGGAAGCAUCGCGAUAUUUCUUCGAAGCCUCACGAUUUGAGGCAAAGACACUUAAGAGCCGAGAUUACUAGAGGCUAGUGACGCUGAGGCAUCGGGAGAUAACCUCGAAACCGCAAAAUUGUGCACCUGGGUAGUUCCCGCUCCUGUGGUGCUUGAGGAGAAUGCGUGCGGUGGCCGGGUGCCUUCUCUGCUCCUUCACUCGGGUCACUCGCUUUGUCCCGGACCCGGGCCCUCCCUGAAUGCUUCCGGUAUUACUGUCCCACCAAUCCCGCUCCCCGGCUGGCCCACGGCAGUGCCGUCUCUAAAUAAACCCUGCACAGAUCCUCUGCCCUCUUCUGCGUUUUCAAAAGUCAUGGGACUAGUUCUCGAACGCUUCCUUUGUAAAUUAUGCACAUUCGCACUCACGUUGGCAUCUGAUAAUUAUUGUUUUGUCUCCUCUGUCAAAAUUGAGUACCAU